AUGCUGAUGCUGCUGGUCCUUGCACAUACUUCAAGGAGUGAGGAUACAGGUCCUGGCAGGUCUUUGCUACAUGUCCGAGCUGUUUAGCUUCUAGGCUGCUGACCACUGAGCCUACCUGAGUGAGAAGGGAUGGGCUUUUGUUUCCUUUCUGCCAUAUCCUGAGUUAUGCCUCCCUACUAUGGACUGCAUGUUUGUGUUUUCCCAGAAUUAAUAUUCCAAAGCCUUAAUCCCCAAUGUGGUGGUAUUUGGAGGUAAGCCUUUGGGAGAUAAUUAGAUCUAGAUGAAUGUGAAGCACGCAUGAUGGGAUUGGUGUCCUUAUAAGAAGAGGAAAAGGGACCAGAGCUCACUCACUCUCUCUCUCUCUGUUUCUCUCUGCCAUGUGAGGUUAUAACGAGAAAGCAGCUGUCUGUGAACUAGGAGGAGGGCCUUCACCAACAACCCAACCAGGCUGGCAUCC
rnacentral:lncRNA from 10 species